rnacentral:rRNA from 1 species
AGUAACGCGUGGGGAACCUGCCUCAAAGAGGGGGACAACAGUUGGAAACGACUGCUAAUACCGCAUAAGCCCACAGCUCGGCAUCGAGCAGAGGGAAAAGGAGUGAUCCGCUUUGAGAUGGCCUCGCGUCCGAUUAGCUAGUUGGUGAGGUAAUGGCCCACCAAGGCGACGAUCGGUAGCCGGACUGAGAGGUUGAACGGCCACAUUGGGACUGAGACACGGCCCAG